ensembl:snRNA
GAAAGUUAUGAAAGGAGAGAAGAUUAGCACUUCCCUUGAUAAUGGAAGAGGUCCUAGUGGCCUUUCACAACACAUAUGAUUAAGGAAAGGCAUUGUCACUUUUGAUAUAUUUUAUAUUAUUAU